rnacentral:rRNA from 1 species
ACCAGACUCCUACGGGAGGCAGCAGUGGGGGAUAUUGCACAAUGGGGGGAACCCUGAUGCAGCGACGCCGCGUGGGUGAAGAAGCGCCUCGGCGCGUAAAGCCCUGUCAGCAGGGAAGAAAAUGACGGUACCUGAAGAAGAAGCCCCGGCUAACUACGUGCCAGCAGCCGCGGUAAUACGUAGGGGGCAAGCGUUAUCCGGGUUUACUGGGUGUAAAGGGGGCGCAGACGGCGAUGCAAGCCAGGAGUGAAAGCCCGGGGCCCAACCCCGGGACUGCUCUUGGAACUGCGUGGCUGGAGUGCAGGAGGGGCAGGCGGAAUUCCUGGUGUAGCGGUGAAAUGCGUAGAUAUCAGGAGGAACACCGGUGGCGAAGGCGGCCUGCUGGACUGCAACUGACGUUGAGGCCCGAAAGCGUGGGGAGCAAACAGGAUUAGAUACCCUAGUAC